GUCACUGUAAAAAUUAACUGCCCUAUUUCUGCUGUUUUCCUUUGAAAUAAUAAGUCUUACAUAAAACCUUCUCAAUAGCUAUAUGCAAAACCCCUAUUGUAUUGGUGAACUAAUUUUACAUAAAAUCUUCCAAAUGAAGCCUGGAGGUGAGAAAGCUUCAGGAAGAUCUCAUUGCAGCUACAAGAAGGAUGAAGAGACACUUUUUUCAUGGGCAUGUAGUAACACAGCAAGGGGGUAAAGCUUCAAAUUGAAAGGUCUUUUCAUGUGAUUUGUAGCUAUGUGAGGAUGCUGAGGAAGUUGAUAGGGGAUUUAACCAGGACAGCUGACCAAAACUGACUGAAGGAAUAUUCUAGACCACAUGGCAUCAUGUUCAGCAUAUAGAGCUGGGGGAAAAAGAAGGAGAAGGGGGAUGUUUGAAGUGAUGAUGUUUGUCUUCCUAAGUCAACAUUACACAUGAUGGAAAGCCAUGGUUUCCUAGAGAUGAUCAAAGACCUGCCUGCCCAUGGGAAGUGGUGAAUGAAUUCUUUGCUUUGCUUUGCUUAUUAAACUGUAUUUUGCUCCACCCACAAGCUUUCUCAUUUUUAUUCUUAUUAUUCUCUGUCCCAUCCCAUCAGGGAAGUUGUUGGUAACUCCCUGUGUGUGGAGACACGAGGCUUGACUCCAUUUUCUCAGAAGGCUGAUUUAUUAUCUUAUAUAUUGUAUUAAAAUACUACAUUAAAACUAUACUAAAAGAAAGAGAGAAAGAAUGAUCAGAAGGCUGGAAAGAACAGGAAUAGAAUAGAAUGCAUAACAAAAUCCUGUGACUGCUCACAGCCUUGGCACAGGUGGCUGUGAUUGGUCAUCAAGUCAGAACAAUCCACAUGGACCAAUGGAAGAUGCACCUGUUGCAUUUCCCAACAGCAGAUAGUUAUUGUUUACAUUUCUUUCCUGAGGCCCUCAGCUCUCAGGAGGGAAAAAUCCUAGCAGUGGAUUUUUCAUAAAAUAUCACGGUGACAGGAAGGGUCAGUCAGUUGCUCUCUAGUUCUUAGUUGAUGUUUGGGGUUACACCAUGACAGCAAUGUAAGGAAAUGAUUUAGUUAGUUUUAAAUGUGUAAAUCGUAUCUUGUAAUGAUAUUUAUUGGUAUGAAUUCUUUGAAUCAUGAAAGAAAUUGGAUGAGUAAGUGACAAUACAAUCAUGAAGAGGAAGAUAACACUCUGGUGGCAUAACAAAUUUAUCCAAAGAUAUGCUGAUACAUCUGUUCGUUUGUAUGUCAGUUUUUGGGGGCUUUGAGGAAUAUUUGCAGUUGAAAUGUUGGCACUGGGUAUCAAACAUAACAAAAAAAAACCCCAAUAUCUCUGUACAGUGUCUAAUAAGUCCUGAAAUCUGUUUCUCCACGCAAUUGCUUCAUAAAUUAUACUUAGGCAUAUUUAAAUGAUUUCACACACCUCUUGCUAGGGUAGUCAUGAAUCACUUGGAGUGUCAAAAUUCUGCAGUGAAGUGUUUGCAGAAGUAAGAUAAUCAUUCCUGAUUAAGCUUUCAAACUUGAUGUUCAUAUUCUUUUUGGUACAAAUGUUUUUAUCUCCAAACAGAAGAGUUCAUUUUUAAAACAUACUCUUGACUUUUUCCCCUUAAGUCAUGAAAUCACUUUUAUUUAUAUCUUUUCUUUUACACUAACCAUUCUACAGUGUUUAGAUAUUAAUAAAGACACAAUGCAACUAACUGUGAACUAUGAAGUGUCCUUAGCCUGCAAGUCUGUACUGUAAUAUUUUGAACCCUGAUGAGGGAAAGAUAUUUUUGUUUCUGUAAUUAAAUGUAUAUUCAUUAUGAAAACUCCUGGCAUGAGGACAAUACAGAUAAUCUGGAACUCAUUUUUAAACAGAUUCUUAGAAAUAAGCAAAAGAAAACCAGAAAACUAAAGCAUGUCCCUGCAAUAUAAUAUUCAAGCUAGCAAGUGUGAUAAAGUAAAACCAAUAGUCGUUUUAAUACUGUGUGGGGAAGUAAUACCUUUGAUUCUUAUGCAAACAUCUCAUUCUCAUAUGAAUAUCCAUAAUCUUAGAAAGACCUAUCAAAGAAAAAUACCCAAGGGUAUGUAUGUGAAGCUUUUUAAGAAUCUAAAUAUGCUAAUUGAAUGCUUCUGCAGUUCUAUUAAGCUAAACAAUUCUGCGUUAAUUACACAUAAUUCUGUGUAGGCUAAUUUUUUAUAUCAAAUAAAAUUACCAUGUUUACAUUAAAAUAGGAAAUAUCUAUGCUGUAGCUAAAAUUCCAUAAUUGUGUUUUGAGAUAUAUGAGUGCAAGCAAAUUUUAUAUUUAAAACAAAUCUAUACAAAAAGUUCCAAAUAAAAAGUUCUACUGUUGAUAUUGGUGGAAGCAAAUGUAGGGCCUAAGAUAAGUGAUCAAUUAUGACAAACUCAAAUUUUUCCAUUUCAUACCUUGGAUUUUUAAAUGCUAUUCCAAAGCAGAGAUAAUUUCCUAUUGAAAUAAAACCUGCAUGAACUUGAUUCUUCUGCAAUCUUUAUUUCUCUCAGCAACUUAUGUUAGUUCUUGUUUUCUAAGAUAAUUUCUCCAGUGAUUUUAACCACAUACGAGUAUUCAUUCAAAUAUGUGGUUUUUUUCCUGAACUUGUAGAUUUUGUCAUCAGUGUGUUUUUCAUUAUAUGGAUAGAGAAGCAUUAAAAUAGGUAAUGUCAUAACUGAAUGAAGGGAGGUUGAUUUCUGGGAAGUAAAAGGGGACAACAAAAAAGGAGUUCUUAUGUCAAGAUGAUGUGUAGAUUUGUCUCAGGUUAGGUUGAAUUAUUCUUUUCAACAUAUAAUAGCUCUCAACAAAAGCUUAAUUAUUUUAAGUUUAGGGGAAGGUAACUUAUAACAAGAACAUCAUAUUUUACAAAUUAUGUUCAUUGAGGAUUCGUCUUUGAAGUGUAUCAUCUCUGUGCUCUUUCAGUUGGAAAUCAGGUUUAUGCCAUGAAUGCAAAAAUAAAUAAAAUUAAAUAAUACUAAUAUUAAUAAAAUUAAAUAAAUAAAAUUAAUUAAAUAAAAUUAAAUAAAUAUUACUGUACAAAAACUUUAUGGGUAAGGGGUUAAAUUAAAGCCUCCAAAAUCUAUGCUUCCUUACCUAUGUCCCCCAAAUACUGACAAUGCUUUGUUUAUUUCAGUUAUAGAUUUCCUACUUCAUACUGCUCCAUUAUGUGGGGUUUUUCUCCUAUCAAUUUGUAGUUAAUUUGUAGUUACUGAUUCAAAUCUGGACAUAAGCCUUUUUUUUUCCCCAGAAGUUGCUAGAAACUGUUUGUUUCCAAUUUUGUGAUUUUCUGUUAAGACUUUCUUCUAACUUAGGUAAAAUUUCAAUAAUAAUUAUUGUCAUCUUAUGUAUGCUAUGUGGGGUAGCAAAGAUAGAAAACCAUCUGUUAAUGUGAGCAAAGAUAGAAUGAUCUAGUAGGAAGUAUGUAUGUACACAAAUUCAUCAUACCAGUACCUAAUUCUGUAAAACAUAAAGUUUCAAUCAGAAUACACCUGGAAUGUCAUAUCUGUUGCAAAAUUGGUUUUUUUUUUUUUUUUUUUUUUUGUUUUAAUACUGAAUUGAAAAGCUACUGAAUUGCUAUAUAGCAGCAGACUAUGCAAUGAUUUGAAUUGCAAUUAAAUGGAAGAAAUUUUGGACAUAGUGUACAGAAAUUUUGGGGAAAUGUUUUGUUUAUUCCAAAAAUAAAUAAUAAAAGCCUUAAUGCGGUGUAUUGAAAAAUAAUUUUAUUUAGGAAAAUGUUCUGGCUUAUAGGUUUUUAACAGACAUAAGCGAACACCUACAGCCUUGUUUCUGUAAGUGGUGUAAGAGAAGCUUAGCAUAGACAUCUGAUGCUUAUGGGAAAUAGUGUUGAUAUGUUGUCAAAAUGUUAAGAACCACUCAACCAAGCUACAGAAAUAGUAGUACAUAACUAUCCAUCUCUGGAGUAUUAUCUGAGGUAAAAGCAUCUAUAGAAAUCGUAUGUGUCAUUUUCUGUAUAAAUGGAUGGAUUUGAUCUUUCACCCACUGUAAUUCAGGUAUUAUUUUUCAAUUACAUUCUCUGAGAGUUGUAAAGGAGACAAAGUAAUUGAGAUUAGUGGAUAAUUAGAUAAUUCAGUAGCACAUAAACAAGACCAAAAAGUAAUCUCUGGGGAAUUAGUGGUUUUGUGGUUCAACUUAAUGUGUAUGUGAGCCUUGGGUAUGAUGACCUGAUCCCUUUGUUGCCCGUCUCCAUAUGGGGAACCAUUAAUUUGAGGCCCCCAGAUAACAUGAUAAUUAGCUGUGGGGCUAUACACAUAUAUUCCUAAUAAAUUAUCUCCUCUAUAUUGGCCCUCAUCAAAAGAAUAAUUGUCUUUUAAAAAAAUCCACUUUUUGCAAAAUUCAGUACCAUUAUCAGAUCACACAAAAUCUGAGUAUUUGGAGUUGAAAGGAACCUCUGGAGACAGGUUCCAGUCCAAACCCCAUAGUAAAGCCAGUCCACCUCGAGCAAAUUGUACAUGAUUGUGUCCAGGUGGGCUUUGAUAUCUCCAGAGAAGGAGAUUCCACAACCUUUUUGGUCAGUCUGUUCUGGUGCUGUGUCAUCCUAAAAGUAAAGAUGACUAUCCUCGUAUUCAGAACUUUUAGUGUUUCUGUUUCUUCCUCUUCCUCUUCCUCUUAUUGUGUUGUCAGUCACCACUAAGGAGAGUCUGACCCCAUCCUCAUAGCACUCUUAAGAUAUUUUUAUGCUCAUGUUUAUGUGCUCUUGUUUAGUUAAGUUAUGCUCUCAGUUACAAAAAAUCCUGUCCAUUGGUAUUGUAGGAAAAUUAACUGUCCAUUGCUUUAAUCUCUGGCUAGAUUAUUUUUGUGCCAAAGAGAAAGCAGAUUAUGUCAAGAGAAUCUCAGAUUUAAUUUAAGGGCCUUAAAAGAAAUUUUCAUCCUAGUCAGAAUAUGACAGGUCCAAGACAGAAGAAUAGACACACUGCUGCCAAGGCAGACAAAAAUGUAUUGGUAUUUAUAAUGUAUUCUCAUUAAAUCAGGAGGCAUCAGGGCUUAAUAGACUUGGAGUGUAAUUGAGUCCAACCAGCUGUCUGGAAAACCUCUGUGUUGUGCAUCUGUUCAAAUACGAUUUUUCCACCU